CGACCGCAACAGCAUGCCUGUAUGCCUUCUCGAUCCCCUCUCCUAAUCGGACGAAACCGAUGGGAAAAAGGAUCCGGCCAUCGCAGAGAGCCAAAGAGGCUCCUCCGCAGCCGCACCUUAUCACCGGCAGCAUCGCCGUUGGCGGCGGCAUCUUCUUCGCUUCCUGCAGCAGCUCCGGCUUCCUUCGUCCGUCAAUCCCUACCCUCCCGGGCCGCCGCCUCCUCCAAUUCCAGCGAGAAUCCCUCCCCAAUCUCCACAUCGAGCGGGCCGGCGCGAGCGCGGUGCUGGGGCACCGCUUCUUCGCGGUCUUGCGGGACAAGAAGUUCCCCUGUUGAAGCCGACAAGGACGUGGACAAGUUCGUGGCCUCGCUGGAGGGCAUUCAUGGCCGGGCAGAAGAUGAGAUGGCGCCUCGGCCGGCGGCGACAAACCAAAGCAGUGUUUGGAUCGGACGUCGGGCUCCGCCGCAGCAGCCCCUGCAUCCCCCUCCACCAACUCCGCCCAGCUCAAGAGGAUCCUCGCCGGCCUGCAGGCCGAGGGCAACGACCCGCGUCAGCUCAGCUCCCUCAUGCAGCUCUGCGAGAUGCUCUCCAUCGGCACCGAGGACUCGCUUGCCGCCUUCCCGGUCGACGCCUUUGUGCCCCUCUUUGUCUCGGACUGCUCGGCUGUGAGGAGGCUGCUCGCGGCGCCAGACCUGAUGUCAUGCUGCUUGCUGCCCGCGCCCUCUCCAACCUCGUCAACGUCCUCCCAUCGGCUACUGCUGCUAAUAUUUGUCUCCUUGGUAGACAUGCUUCUAGAGAGUAGCAUUGUCUACUGCUGCUAAUAUUUGCAGGAAGCUGCCAUCUGAUGCAUCUGAGUUUGUCAUGGAAGCUGUAGCGUUGCUCACUAAUCUCCUACACCACCAUGACUCUAAGGUUCUAGAGCAUGCUUCUGUUUGUUUAACAUGCAUUGCAGAGGCUUUUGCUUACUAUCCAGAAAAGUUGGAUGAGUUGUGCAAUCAUGGGUUGGUUGCACAAGCUGCUAGCUUGGUAUCCAUCAGCAACUCAGCUGGCCAGACAUCGCUGAGUACAUCGACAUAUACGGGUUUGAUCCGUCUUCUCUCAACAUGUGCAAGUGGAUCUCUGUUGGCCGCCAAAACACUUCUUCUUCUUGGCAUUAGUGACACUAUUAAAGACAUUCUUUCAGGGUUGUCAAGGCCUGCUGGAACAUCACGUGAUUAUUAGCUGUGUCUAAGUGUGUGUCUAGUUUUCUUCAGGUUCCGUGCAACUAACUAGGAUUACUAGGGAUAGUACUGUUCUGGUCUUAAUUUAGCAUUUUUCAGAUGCAGUACUUGAGCAUUUGCCAAAUUAAGCUUCGGGUGCAUGAUUUGGUUGCAUGAAUGAAGCUACAGUACUGCUUUUUUCCUUUUGACGAAAGGGCAGCACCGAUUUCAUAAAUAAGAGUUGGAAUUUACAAGGUUUUUGACAAGGACAAGCUUGUCAAGAGUAGUAAUGCUCAAGAUACACAAAACAUCAGACG